CAAGCAGUUUUACGCCCCUGUUGUUCCUCAUGCGUCCAGUAGGGGGAGGCUGUAUAUUAGUAUAUGAGCCUAGUCAUCAAAACAGCAGACCAUAUCUGUAUGAUAGCGGCAGACAUUUUUUGAAGCGAUACGAAAUGAGGUAUGUAAAUAAGUUAUUGUUGUUGAUUGUAUUGUAAUGAUGCAACAUUUAUUAUUUAUAAACGAUUGAUGCGAUAUCAAUUCAAAAGAUGGGUCAAUAAUUUAUUUCGAGAGGCAAAAGUACUUGAUUGAGCCAGUCUUUCUUUUUUUCUGGAAAUUAAUUUUUACUCUUUUUCAGUAUGCCCUUUACACUGUGCUGAACACUCCAUUCAAUUUUACUUCGCUUGACAUGCCUGCAAUCAGGGAGUGGUGGUGUCUACGUCUAAUUGAGCGGUUUGAGACAGAGGGGCAUGGGAAAAGGUUCGCCCACUGGACAGAGGAGGCAAGAUGCCUGACUGAAGGGACAUUACGACCACUUUACAGGAGUUUUCCAGGACUAACACAUGACCUACCACAACAUGUUGUUGCCAGUAGGAACCGAAAGUUGUCCAGCCAGGCUCUGGUGGACUUCAUUGUGGCAAGAGGUACCGAUAACCACAUUCAGUCCAUCAUCAGUGGACAAAAAAAAUCACAGUGGCUUGACACUUUUUCCAAGUGUUCCAUAAAGAAAGUGCCUGUGCCAUUGUUCAUUGAAGAUCAGGAACAAAUUGAUAUUAUCUACACUCACCUGACUUCAAUUCUGAACAGUACACCCACACACACCACACAGUGACCAGAUCAGAUUUAUUAUGGAUGUCCUUUUUCCAGAGUCCAUCAUCUGUGCUCUUGCUGUUGUGGAACAUGUGUCCAUCAUGGAGGCUGAGGAGAAAUUCCUGCGAGGACCUGUCAUUGACGCAAGUGAGCGGGAGCACUUUGACAGCAGGAUAAAAAAACAAUUAAAGAAGAGUGGCAAGCCAUAGGAGAGUCUACAGGAGUCAUGCAGAAUCUACAGGAAGAAAUAAGUCAUGGUGUUAAUAAAUAUUUUUGUGAACAACAA